rnacentral:rRNA from 1 species
GACGUAGGAUGCAAGCGUUGUCCGGAAUUAUUGGGCGUAAAGAGUUCGUAGGCGGUUGCCUAAGUCUGGUGUUAAAGACCGAAGCUCAACUUCGGCAUGGCAUUGGAAACUGGGCGGCUAGAGUGCGGUAGAGGUCUCGGGAAUUCCAGGUGUAGCGGUGAAAUGCGUAGAUAUCUGGAGGAACACCGGUGGCGAAAGCGCGAGACUGGGCCGUAACUGACGCUGAGGAACGAAAGCCAGGGGAGCAAAAGGG